AACGCGAAGACCCUUACAUACUUUUGACAUCCAGGGAAUUUAGCAGAGAUGCUUUGGUGCCUUCGGGAAUUUUGAGACAGGUGCUGCAUGGCUGUCGUCAGCUCGUGUUGUGAAAUGUUGGGUUAAGUCCCGCAACGAGCGCAACCCUUAUCCUUUGUUGCCAGCGGUUCGGCCGGGAACUCAAAGGAGACUGCCGGUGAUAAACCGGAGGAAGGUGGGGAUGACGUCAAGUCAUCAUGGCCCUUACGACCAGGGCUACACACGUGCUACAAUGGCGCAUACAAAGAGAAGCGACCUCGCGAGAGCAAGCGGACCUCAUAAAGU
rnacentral:rRNA from 1 species